AACUAGUAAUUCCCUCUCCCUCUCUCUCUCUCUCUCUCUCUCUCGCGCUCGUAGGUUAGAUUUGUGAGCUCUGUCAAAUGGAGAAGGAUCAUAAGGUUGCAUCGGAAAAAGACCCCAAGAUCGAUUUGUUCGAAGACGACCACGAGUUCGAGGAAUUCAACAUCAAUGAAGAUUGAAGAUGGGGACAUCAUAUGCUUUCAGAAAUCUACUUCACUUGGAAGUGAAGGAGAACUCAAAUAUUCCAAUGUCCCUUCAUUUCUGGUAGAUGGUUAUUGUGGUAGUUAAUGCUACAUAGAGCAUAAGUUCUGCGUUCAAGUGUCUCUCACUGAGCUUUCAUUCUUGGUAUUAUUUAAGACAAGGUUGAAAAAAGAACAAGAGGAGGAGGACAAAAAGAGAUACAAGGCACAAGCUCACCUUUAUACAACUAUUAAGGUUGCUCGAGAUGAGGACUUGGUCAAACAAAUUGGAGGGGAUAUAUAUUUUGACCUUGUGGACCAUGACAAAGUUCGUAGUUUCACUAUUAAGAAACAAACAGCCUUUAAUCUUUUCAAGGGUCUGGUUGCACUAUAGUUUGGCAUACCAAUGCAAUUUCAGCAGUUUUGGAUUUAGGCCAAGAGGCAAAACCACACAUAUCCCCCAUUCGACCAUUGACACCCGAGGAACAAUUAGAAUCAGUCAAAAAAUUGGAAGGUCUACCAAAUAAAGAACACAAAAACUGCAAGCUAAAGUUAUUUUUGGAAGUAGAUCUUGGGCUGGACCAACGUCCUAUUCCUCUGCCUGACAAAACCAAGGAAUAUAUCCUGCUUUUCUUUAAGCUUUAUGAACCUGAGAAACGAAAACUAAGGUACCUCUGGCUCUUUCUACUGUGCUAAAUAGUUUUUCCUUUUGAUUUGUUGCUUGCUGAUUUAAGUUUCAUUUCGUUACUAGUUUUGUUGGUAGGUUUUUUGUCAAGAGUUUAGCAAGCCAGUAGAGAUUUUAGCAAAAUAAAAUCAACUUGCUGGUUUUGCCCCUAAUGAAGAAAUUGUGCUUUAUGAGAGGUCUACUUCACAUUCUUUUAGCAACAAUUCUGUCAUAACUAAUUGUCAUUACACUAUUUACAUAUUUGUAUAAUUUGCAUGCUUCGGUUCGGUGUAGCAUUCUGGAGUAAAAGUUUUAUCUGUCUGUGUACUAUCAGGAAAUGAAGUUUGAUCCUUGAAUCAUGUGCGAGCAUAUUCACAAGCGGACGUCAUUUCGUCUAAGUCAGAUAACUGUUACAAUAGGAAUGAACUUUUGUGGCUUCUAUGCAUAUUUUUCAUUGGCUGUUAUGCUUCGUUUUCCAGGUUGAAGAUGAGGACAUUAUAUGCUUUCAGAAAUCUACUCCACUUGAAAGUGAAUAGAAUAAUUGUUCUGAUACACACAUUUAUAAUCUUUGAAUUGUACUGAUAUUUUUAUCAUAAUUAAACUUGUGGUUGUGUGGUUUUGGUGUAGUGAGAUAUGAGGAGUGAUGAGCUACAUAAACUGUAGCGAGCUACAUGAAGUAGUGAGAUACAUGAAGGAGCUAUAUGAAGGAGUGAUAAAGGAGCUACAUAGACUGUAUGUACAAAAGGGAAGAUGCCUUUAUUCAAGUUUGUAUUUUCGGAAUUUGAGGACUUGUGUUAUUAUGUUCAAAUACAUACAUUAGGUUUGUAAUGAAUGUAUUGGCUUUACCACAUUGAUCUUAUAUAUGUUUGUUUUUAUUAAUGAUAAUACAAAAUAUUCUUUAAACAA